rnacentral:rRNA from 1 species
AUUGAACGCUGGCGGCAGGCCUAACACAUGCAAGUCGAACGAGUGGCGGACGGGUGAGUAAUGUAUGGGAAACUGACCGAUGGAGGGGGAUAACUACUGGAAACGGUAGCUAAUACCGCAUACCAUCGGAUGUGCCAAGAUGGGAUUAGCUAGUAGGUGGGGUAACGGCUCACCUAGGCGACGAUCCCUAGUUGGUAUGAGAGGAUGAACAGCCACACGAGAACUGAGACACGGUCCAGACGCCUACGUGAGGCAGCAGGGGGGAAUAUUGCACAAUGGGCGCAAGCCUGAUGCAGCAAUGCCGCGUGUAUUAAGAAGGCCUUCGGGUUGUAAAGUACUUUCAGCGAGGAGGCGUUACUCGCAGAAGAAGCACCGGCUAACUCCGUGCCAGCAGCCGCGGUAAUUC